UUAAGUCCCGCAACGAGCGCAACCCUUACGCUGAGUUACCAGCACGUAAUGGUGGGCACUCUAAGGAGACUGCCGGUGACAAACCGGAGGAAGGUGGGGAUGACGUCAAGUCAUCAUGGCCCUUACGGCCUGGGCUACACACGUGCUACAAUGGUACGGUACAAAGGGUUGCCAAGCCGCGAGGUGGAGCUAAUCCCAUAAAACCGAUCGUAGUCCGGAUCGCAGUCUGCAACUCGACUGCGUGAAGUCGGAAUCGCUAGUAAUCGUGAAUCAGAAUGUCACGGUGAAUACGUUCCCGGGCCUU
rnacentral:rRNA from 1 species